UCUCCAGACAUUUCCCUAGUGCCUGAUUUCUCUGUAAACCGAGACUCUUCUAUGUUACCAAUUUCAGUUGCCAGGACAGUGUCCUCCUGCCUGUGCACCUUCUGGAACACAGCCUGCAUGUUUUGACCACAAGGAAACGAUUCCCAGAAGAUCCAGCCUCAGUGAUGCUGGUCUCUCUCUUCUUGAUCACCAUUAGUUUCUCAGAUCAGCUAACUAGUAUUGAUUGUCCCAGCAAAUAAACGGUUUCACUGAUGGAUGUUUACUUAGGGGUGGCUGGUGGUUAAGAGCAAAUAGAUCACUUAUGAGAGGAAAUACAGGGAUGGAAGCUAAAUAUUUUAAUGGAAACAUUGUGGGAAAUAGGAGAUUGAGUUGGUAUAGCAUAUUGGCCAGAUUCUUGCUAGGAAGCUGAAAUGACUGAAGUAAACUAAAAAAAAAAAAGUAUUUAUUAAAAAAACAAUGGACAUUGGAACUGGUAAGAUGGCUGAGCAGGUAAAGGCAUUUGCCACCAAGGCUUAUAACCUGAGUGUAAUCCCUGGGAUCCACAAGAUAGAAGAAGAGAAGUGAUCUGAAUUUCACACAUACUGUGGUAAAGAAAGCAUGCCCACACACAUACACACCCAAAUAAACUAAAUUGAAAUACAAAAAUAAAUGAAGCAAAAAACCCCACAUGGAUUGUGAAAAAAAAUGAGCACCUGUGGACCAGCAAUUGAAGGUGGGUACUUGCUACCUCUUACUCUGAAGGAGAGAAGGGAGAGGGAACACACAGAGAUACCUAUGAGUAAUAAGGCAGUAAAUGGUGCAGCCAAUUUGUAGUAACCCUGUGCAGGAUGCUGGCAAAAUAAAAAAUCUCUAGGGUUUUGCUGGUGCCUCCUAAUGGCCAAACUCAACUAGAUGACAGGAAUAAGGGAGCUUGUGUGCUGGUAAUUCAUAAAAGUGUCACAAGUCUGCUUUAUGAUUUAGAUGCUUCUGUCAUCCAGGACUGGGAUUAUGUAAAAGUGAUGGGGAGACAGACAGAUAUUCAGAAAGAAUGCACACAUGAAAGAGGACAGACAGGUAGAAGGAAGUGAGCACAAAAUGAUUCUCAGAAUAGUUUUCUAGGUAUACUUCAGCCCCUUUUAGAGACAAGAACACCAAGACCCAAAGCAUGGCAUGGCUUUCUUGAGGCAGCAGACUUGGGGGUAAAGUCAGGAAACAGGGCUAGCUAGCUGAAAGCCUUUUCCACCCCACUGCUCCACAUAUAAUGGCUAGUUGAAUCGCAGAAUGCCCAUUUAAGCUUGUAGAGGAAGUUGAAACACUACCAGAAAGUUCUUACUUCACUAUGUAAAUAAUUCAUGCACACUGAGAAGCCGGGACUCAAAGGAUGUCCCUGAGCACUUGCAGUAUUGAUGUUCACUGGACUGAACAGGCUGUGAGGAAGGUGAAGGCUGUGGUUUCAGAAAACCCAGUCACGCUCUGCUAUGCCUCCCCCCCCCCAGUAUGUUUACUCUGACCCCAAGGCAGUACCUGGCUAGCUAACACUGUCCUCAGUCCUAUUGGUUUGGGCAGAAAGGGCAGAAGAGGUAAGGCGGGGCCUCAUUCUUAGCAGAACCUGUGUGUCUUCCCACAUGCGUAGCAUAUGGUGAGUGCUUUGACAAUGACCACUGAACAGAGUCUUUGGGGACUGUUUCCUUUGUCAAAUGUCAUGGAUUCCAACCACACAAAACCACAAAGUUGAGAAUGCAAAGGGUGAAUGGGAAGGACUAAUGAUAGCUAGGCAGGCAUCCCCGGGUGGGAUCCAGGGACCCAACAUCUCUAGAUCCAUAUGAAGCACCCUCACAGAAUUUUCCCAGUACCUAAUACAUGGUGCAGACAAUUAGAUGAGACCAUGCUUCAAAGCUGUCGGUACUCGGUCAUGCAGAGCAAAGGCCGAUUCUACUUCUUCCCUGCCCCUGUGGUCCUACUCCUUUGAUUUAAAUGUCGCUUUCAUGUCCCAAAGUUACAACUCUUGACAUCAGAUUCCGGUCACAUAAAAUGGUAGUGGCUUUCCUACAGCAAAUCACAAUUGUUAUAAAUUCUGUUGUUACUGUUUUGGUCACAUUGGGCUUAUGUGACCGGCGGUUGCCCUUCUGAGAACACCACAGCAUUGUGGAUUAUGACUUUCCCCAUCUUUGAAUAAACACUGAGAGCUUUCUUUACCUCUUGGUCCAGUGCUUGUUUGCCAUCUGGUGCCUGGGUUCGGCUACAUCUGCAUUUACUUAAGGACUUUAGGCGAAGGCUGGGUUUACAUAUGGGAAGAAGGAGAGAGCUUCGUUGAUGUCUUCCAUCUGUUCAUUUAUUCACAUAUUAUGAUUUCUGUAAUCUCACCAAUGUUGAUCCCUUCAGACAAUCCUUACACUGUUCCUUGGGGACCAUCAUUUUUGUGUGUUCAGCUGGGAGUUUCCCUGAGAAUAUUUUUUUUUAAAUGCCAUUACUUUUAGUGUAACUCAGCAUGGCUUCUAGAUGAGAACAAAAUUAAUGUUCUCAAAGAGGUGGCUUUUUUUUUCUUUCCCUUACAGGGGGAUUUAUCUGCUUUGAAUGAAUCUGUGGAAAGAAGCAGGAAACCCCAGAGCUGGUUCCUCUCCUCACUUGUAAAUGCUUUGAAUUAGGUUCAUGACCCACUGUGAAGAACACUGAAGAUUUGAUAAGGAAGCCGCUUGCACAGAGCUGCCUCCCUCAUCCUACAGGAUCAUGAGAGUGAACAAGAGUGACAGUUUCAGCUUCUCCUCAUCCAGUUCAGAGGACAACAUUGAAAAUAAUAUCAAGAGGAGUCAUGCUUCAAAAUCUCUCAUAGAGUAGCAAAGCUUAUGUCAACUAGUCAUGUGAGUCUAACCCAAUUAUUCAGGGAGAGGUGAAUCUGUCCUUUUUGGUGCUAUAUGACCUGGCACUCACACCUGAGAUGUGAUUUUUCUUCCUCUUUCUUUUUAAAGCAGCAGACAGCCAGCAAGUUUAAAUGCCACCUCUGGAUACUCAACACAGUUAUCUUAGCUUCACAAGUUUCCAUUAAGGCAUCUCUCAGUUUCUUGAGGUGGGAAUAGGAACACAAAAAUCGUAUGUCACAGAGGAAAGACACCAGGCCAUGGGAAAAUACUAAGCCCUUACACACAGAAUCUGAGGUUUUUGGGAACCAUUUAAGCCCUUUUCUGGGAGUGGUAGAGUGCAUGCUGGCUCUGGACAGGAUAUUCAGGGAGAACACAGCUGAUUUACAAGGCCGGAGUGGGAGACAUGGAGAGAAGCCUGCAGGAUGUAACUGAAUGGUGGAGAAAUCCAGACUAAACUCAGGGAGCCUAAGCUCCAGGAGAGAAAGCCUAGAGAAGUGAAGGGAAUAAACAAAGGCGGUGGGGCUAAGCUGGAGUGAUUGCCAGGUGGGAGGGCAGGAUACAUCUGGGCACCUUGGACUACAUGAGGAAUUUAGUACUUUCCAUAGAUUCCACAGUAGACACCGAAUGAAAAUGUUUUAGGACACAGACCUUACACUGUCCCAUGGCUUCUCCACUUUAGCAGGGUGAAUACUGGCGUCUAGGUAGGAGUGAGUGACAGUGGUUUGUCUAUGAGUUGGCUACCCGUUAUGCCUUCCUCUCCUGCUGUCCUCUUUUCCAUUAGCUAUUUCAUCCCCUUCUCUUUUGGCAGAAGGCAGAGGAUGCGAUGAUGCAGGUUGCAGCCUGCUCAGAGGGCUCCACCAUGGACACAUUUUGUAUCCUUCUUCAAGGCACCCUCCCUGUUCUCCCCACUGGGCACCAGACUACUCUGCUGCCUGCCUGCUGAGAGGCAACAGCUGUUGGCACGGAGAGCAACUCCCAGCUGCUCACCCAAAUUCUCUCAAGCCUUGCUGAGUGUCAAUGCUUUUAAUUUGUUAAAAUUGGAUGGGGGCUGACGAACAGAGGAGCAAAGAGAGGCCUAAUUUUAGCUGUAGACAAGAGGACUUUCCCCUAAAUACACCAAUCUCAAAAUACUUAGCUAAGUGCAUAUGAACACACGGGGAGGAUUUAAAGAGCCACAGAGUAAAAUUUAAAGGCCAACUGGUCCCGGCCCCGCCUGCCUGAACAACUGGACUAAAGAGCAGUGAGAACAGUCUGCACCCUCAUUCUGGACCAGGCACUGUGCCAGAUGUUUGUGUGCAGCCCUUCCUUCUCACAGGAGGAUGGUUUGGGGCCCAUCAUUGCCCUCUACAGAUGGGGAAACAGGCUCCAGAAAUUUAAACCCAGGUCGCUCUUACUUUCCCUGUCAAAUGAAAGGAAAAUGGGGCAUCGAGCUUUGGCUAUCUGAAGAAGUGAUAUUUGAGGCAUGGAAUCAGAGCACAGAUCAGAGGGCUUUGGUUUUUAUAUCCUCAGAAUGGACUCUCUUUGUCCAUGGUUGCCCUUUUUCCAAACUAAAACCCCUCCCAAGAACUCCAAGAUAUUCUGAAGGAAUGAAGAGACUGUCACAAGCAAUUUGCAGGUAGAUAAGUGCUUGGGGGAAUGCCUUUCUGUCCCCCUCCAGCAAAAACCAUUGCUGUCUGUAACCAAAGAGGAGGGCUGUUUGGCUCAGGUAUCUGAACUGGGUAACUUCUCUUGAUCUCUCCUUCAUGCUAGAGUCUGCACUCCCUCAGAAUAAAGCCCACCUGGUAGGACUCAUCACAUCAACUCCCUUCAUCUCAGCUCAGGCCUACAAAGCCUCUUUACUGGGACGCUCCCCCAUGAGGCUUACCAUGCACAUCUGGAAGCUUUCCACAAUGGGCCUUUGAAGCUGCCUGCAGCAUUCCGGGAAAGCCUGGCUCACUAGGCUGAGGUUGCAAGAGCAGAAGCCCACAUUUAUUUUUCUUUUCCGCCUUCUUUGAGGAAACUCAAUCCCCUAGUGGCUUUGUGGGCAUUUGCAAGGCAGCUCUGAUUUUCAUCCUACUACUGACAAGGCUAAAGUCUACACGAGCAGUGAACAAUGGCAGCACACUCAAAGGGGGGCUUGGAAUAAUGGAGGAGGUCCACAGUGUGCUCGGCUCCUUAGACCCCAUUGAGUCCUGCCUGACUCAUCUUGACUUACCCCAUUGCUCAGCACCAGUGACAUUUUGCCCACUCAAAGUAUCUAAGGCGGGGUUUUCUGAUGUGAAAUGAAUUAACAGUGAUAUGCCUCUCAGAGAACAAUGUUACAGGAGGUAGCUGAAGUAAGCCACUUUCUGCAUUGUAAGACACGUUGUUCAACAGAUCUGUGAGGUCCCUUCUCUGGGUCAUUCUCCUUCACAUAAGCCAAGCUCAUUCUAUACAAUUUAACUCACAUAGAUUCCUUUCUGAAAUACUUUACCCCUCUGUCAGUCAUGUUAGUUGUCAUGUCCUUAACAUUUAUUUCUGAGUUUUUUGGGUUUAUUUUUAUUUUUAUUUUUUUUUGUUUUUCGAGACAGGGUUUCUCUGUGUAGCUUUGGAGCCUAUCUUGGCACUCGCUCUGGAGACCAGGCUGGCCUCAAACUCAGAGAGAUUCACCUGCCUCUGCCUCCGGAGUGCUGGGAUUAAAGGCGUGCACCACCAAUGCCCGGCUCUUUAUUUCUGUUUUUAAGAUUACAUAUAGCUUACAAGACCCUGUAGUAACUGUAGACAUGUUUCUGUUUUGAUUGAAUCUUCACACCUAGUUAACAGUGUUCUCAAUGAAUGCCUGCACACUCAUUAGCCCAUAUAAUCAAUAUUACUUAGCACCUACUCUGUGUCAUACAGCCAUGACUAUAACAGACCUAGGACCUACUUCCAGAAGUUUACUUUGUAGCAGGGAAAAUCUAGAAAUCCAUUAGGAAAUGCAUAUAUUGAAAUAUGGUGUCGUCAGGACAACAGUAAAGAAAUAAAGUAAGAGACUGCUAGUUGUAGCUCCAACACAUGAAAUACAGACAAGAGAAGAAGCCAACAAAGUACCAAACACAGACUUUACUUGAGUUAGGAAGAAAACUGAGGUUAAAGGCAAACUCUCAUCCUAAAAUCUGGAGACAGAAGAAUCCAGUUACAGCUAGAUCUUGCCAGGACAAGAAGCUACUGGAACCAUGGAUGAGCAGAGACAUUUCAGUGACAGCUGAAGAGAAGAAAUGAAGAAGGGUUCAGUGUGGCCAGGAAGGCAUGGGACUGUAAUUUUGGCCACUAUUGAAGCUGUGCAAAAGGACUGCUUCAGCCAAGAAGUCUGAUUGAGACCCAGUGGGCAACAUAACCUUACUAUCCCAAAUAAAUAAUAGAUGGAUGGAUAGAUUGAUAGAUAGAUAGAUAGAUAGAUAGAUAGAUAGAUAGAUACAAGUUUGAGUUAAUUAGGAAUAAAAAUUCUGGGUUUGGUGGCACAUACUUGUAAUCCCUAUACUCUAUAGAUCAGGGUAAAAAGAUUGUAAUUUUGAGGCCAGCUUGGGGGAAAUAGGAAGAUCCUGCCUCAUAAAACAUGGCGGGAUAAUGAAUACAGCAAAUAUAAGAGUUACUACAUGGUACAUAUUCAUCCAUCUGUACCAGUAAUCUAUUUAAAUGUUAAUGGCAUGAAUAUAUUAGUUAAGAGAUUCCCACAGUCAAUUAGGGAACAAGCAAGGCCUAUUGGAGAUAUGCUGUAAAUAUAAAGACUUACAGAUAUUGCAUGCCACUCAAAGCAGAGCUGCAGUAGUGUGGGAGCCAGUGUAAGAAAGCAUUGAACUAUAAAUGAAGCAGAGUGCACCAUGUUCUUCCCACAAGGUGGGAAUUGCAUAAACUGUGACAACUGAAUGAACUUGAAAACAAGGACAUGAAGGAAAUACCCUAGCAUGCCCACAGUAUAUCUGUGGGAAAGGCAAAGGCCUGGGAGGAAUAUUCCUGGCUCUUUUCAUAUGGCCAAAGGUGGUAAAACAUAACACCAGGUGUAAUCCCUCACUGUACUUAUAUUUACUUAAACUACAUACAAACCAUCUUCUCAUGUUUUGCUUGCUUUGAUAAUAAAAAUGAGAAGGGCUUUGUUUGCA